rnacentral:lncRNA from 1 species
GCCCAAACAACGCAGUGCAGGGGGCUGAGUGGACUGUUUAAAAGCCCAAGCGUGAUAAAAGGGCAGAAAGCAGAGAAGCACUUUGAGACUGUCAGUGAGCUCCUGCGGGAGCAGGAGAAAGAGCUCUUGCAAUCAGAGCCAAAAGAGGAAGUUACCGCCACCGCGCCUCAGAGCAAACUGAAGGCAAACGCGGAAGUUACAGUCAACCAGUCAAUGGGCGGAGCAAUGGGCGGUCCUUCUUGUCAACCGCGCCUCUACCCUGCUUGCCCACCCCCUCCACCCCCGCUGCCAGCAGAGAUUCAUCCCGGACCACAGACUGCUUCUCUGCCACAGACUGUUUUUUGGCCAGAGCCACAGACUGUUCCUCUGCCAGAUGAUGACAUACCAAUGACAGAGGCAACAAAUGAGCUACCUGCUCAUCCCCCAGGAUCUUGCGUGAACCCACAAGCAUUGGAAAGAUGGGCUCAUCAAGUAGAAGAGGCAAUGCAUCAAAUGAAACCACACUUUGAUUGUGCUCUGUCUUCUAUGGAAGAAAAGCUCCAUCGGAAGCACGAGCCACAACAGGGUCCCACAAAGUCCCGAAAGGGUGUGGCCCAGACAGCCCUGCAACUACAGGAAUGGGCUCAAGUAGAGCCCUCCGCUCCACCUCCCGACUUUGAUAACGUACCACCUCCACCCUAUGUCAUGGGCGCUCCCACUACUUCUCGAUUGGGACAGAGGUGGUCUGGAAUUAUAAAAGAUGCUAUCCUGGAGGGAGACUGGGAAGCGGCAGGGCAAAUUGCCUGCCCCAUCAUAUUCCAGAAUGGUGAACGACGAUAUGAGCAGCAUUGCUGGAAAAUUUUACAACAAGCCAAGAAGCCUGUAACAGAUCAUGGAAUAAAAUCUGAGGCCACCCGCAUGGCCUUAGAUUGGAUUUUUACAGCAGAUACCAACUCUCCUAUAGACAGCACUAACCUGGCAAGGCUUCUGUUGACACCUUCCCAGUUCCUUCACUGGGAGCGAGAGUGGAAAAGACUAGCACAGAUGGAGGCCAAUCGUCCGCAACAGCAGAAUGAACCUCUAUACGGUAUUAACCCAGACAUGUUGACCGGGUCUGGAGUAUAUGGACAUUUACAAGUGCAGCUUCAAUACCCGUUGCCCAUACAUCAUCUGUCAGCGCAGCUUGCCCGCCAAGCCUUCAGUGCAGUACCUGAUUCCCGGCCUCAACCCAGCUUCGCCACCAUCCGACAAGGCCAUUCUGAAGGAUACUUGCAUUUCAUCGAUAGGCUUUGGCAAGCUUUGGCCAGCCAAUCAGAUAUGACAGAGGACGCAAAGCAGAGUAUGUUUAAGUUGUUGGCAUUUGAAUACGAAACGUGUUCUCGCCACCCUUCCAAGGGGUGCGGAAGUAAGUGAUAUGCUCGAGCUAGCCAAUCGAGCGGUAC